rnacentral:rRNA from 1 species
AGUGAACGCUGGCGGUAUGCCUAACACAUGCAAGUCGAACGGCAACACAGUAAGCUUUUGCUCUUACGGUUGGCGAGUGGCGGACGGGUGACGCAUACAUCAGCAUCUUCUUUGUCUGGGGUGAUUACGGGGAGAAACUUACGCUAAUACCUCAUACAUCCUACGGGUUGAAUCAAUGGUUCUUCGCGGCUUUCGCGAUUCAUUUAGCCGGUGCCGCAUUAGCUAGUUGGUUUGGUAACGGCCUACCAAGGCAACGAUCCGUAGCUGGCCUGAGAGGAUGAUCAGCCACACUGGAACUGAGACACGGUCCAGACUCCUACGGGAGGCAGCAGUAGGGAAUAUUGCACAAUGGGCGAAAGCCUGAUCCAGCAAUACCGCGUGGGUGAUGAAGGUCUUCGGAUUGUAAAGCCCUGUUAUUGGGGAAGAAAAGAUGUAGAUUAAUCCACGGACGUUUUGACGGUACCCAAAGAGUAAGCACCGGCUAACUUCGUG